rnacentral:rRNA from 1 species
UACGUAGGGGGCAAGCGUUGUCCGGAUUUAUUGGGCGUAAAGGGCGCGUAGACGGUCAGCACAAGUCAGUUGUGAAAUCUCCGGGCUUAACUCGGAAAGGUCAACUGAUACUGUGCGACUAGAGUGCAGAAGGGGCAACUGGAAUUCUCGGUGUAGCGGUGAAAUGCGUAGAUAUCGAGAGGAACACCUGCGGCGAAGGCGGGUUGCUGGGCUGACACUGACGCUGAUGCGCGAAAGCCAGGGGAGCGAACGGG